UUGAAGACGUCAUUCUGCCUAAGAUC
rnacentral:piRNA from 1 species